UGCAAGAGAAGGGAUUUGAACUUGGGACCUCUAACUAACUUUCAUGCUUACACAUUUAAAACUAAUCACUUAGCUAAAUCCUUAUUAUUUUUUAUUAUAUAUUUUUACAUUUUUAUUAACUUAAAUUUUGAAAUGUUACAGCUCUACCCCCUUAAGAAAAUUUUAUCCUCAAAAUUACCUAAUUCGAAAAGAUUAGGAUAUUGAAGCC
rnacentral:lncRNA from 1 species